GCGCUCUGGGUGGCUUCGGCGAAACUUGGGUAGAGUCGUGGAGAUCGAAGACGUCUGUCUUUUUUUUUUCUUUCCCGAUACGAGGCGCACCCCAUUUCCAUUCACCGAACGGAAAUUCCACAAGUCUGAUACAAAGAAGAGAUUUUUUUAGGAGUGAUCUAGUCUACCUAAACUGAUUCAGGAAGAUAAACUAGUAAAAGGUUUCGACCUCCAGGAUUCCCGGAGGAGAGACCACCAAACAACGUUACACUGACUUUCUCACACCCAUUUUCAACGAUCCUAACAGCAAAAGAACAACCAGAAAAUUAUUCCCUCGAACCCAGAUUUCGACAGGAAUCGUAGAUGGUCUUGCUGGCGCUUUAUUAAGCCUCUGUCUCUUCAUUCCUCGUCGUCGUCCUCCCUCUGCUCCCAUGGUUCAGCCAGCAGCAGUCUUGCUUGCGGGGGAGCCUGUUGCGCCAUUACCUUGUGGGCACAUGGCAGCAAAGUCUUGACGACGUCUAUCUGCAGCGGCGAUGGUGCCGUGCAACUCGUCGCACUCUCGGCGUAGUCCCCGCCGGACGACGAGGCGCCGGGCCAAGAGGCGCCAUUUAAGGUUAAGCGCCGGGUCGUCGAGCGAUCGACACACAGGCCUGGACAUGCCUGAUAUGGGAAAGCAAACGAGCGGACGCACCGAAGCAACGUCCGCGUCCACCGGGGG
rnacentral:lncRNA from 1 species